AAGUGCCUGCAAGGGGUUGAGAGAGAGAGAGGUGGGGAGAGAUGAGAGGACCUACAAGGGGCAGAGAGAAGGAGAGAGAGAUCAGCGCCCCCAUCGCCAUGGCAACGCGGCCUAGCCCCGGUAGAGAGGAUGGAGCUUGCCCCCCCUCCCCAUACAAUACCUUAAGAGGACAAUUACAAGACAAGUAAAACUGAUACCUGUCCAUUCUCCGACUCCUGGCACCAUAAGACCAGUGCCUACCUCAUCGGCAACCCUCGGGCUAUCCUUGAUCGGUCUUUACUGGCUUUACCUUGCACUAAAUGCCAUUCCCUUA